rnacentral:rRNA from 1 species
UACGUAGGGUGCAAGCGUUGUCCGGAAUUAUUGGGCGUAAAGGGCUCGUAGGCGGUCCAUCGCGUCGGGUGUGAAAAGCUGGGGCUCAACCCCAGUCCUGCUUCCGAUACGGGUGGACUAGAGGUAUGCAGGGGAGAACGGAAUUCCUGGUGUAGCGGUGAAAUGCGCAGAUAUCAGGAGGAACACCGGUGGCGAAGGCGGUUCUCUGGGCAUUACCUGACGCUGAGGAGCGAAAGCGUGGGGAGCAAACAGG